UCGUAACAAGGUCUCCGUUGGUGAACCAGCGGAGGGAUCAUUACCGAGUUUACAACUCCCAAACCCCUGUGAACAUACCAAUUGUUGCCUCGGCGGAUCAGCCCGCUCCCGGUAAAACGGGACGGCCCGCCAGAGGACCCCUAAACUCUGUUUCUAUAUGUAACUUCUGAGUAAAACCAUAAAUAAAUCAAAACUUUCAACAACGGAUCUCUUGGUUCUGGCAUCGAUGAAGAACGCAGCAAAAUGCGAUAAGUAAUGUGAAUUGCAGAAUUCAGUGAAUCAUCGAAUCUUUGAACGCACAUUGCGCCCGCCAGUAUUCUGGCGGGCAUGCCUGUUCGAGCGUCAUUUCAACCCUCAAGCCCUCGGGUUUGGUGUUGGGGAUCGGCGAGCCCUUGCGGCAAGCCGGCCCCGAAAUCUAGUGGCGGUCUCGCUGCAGCUUCCAUUGCGUAGUAGUAAAACCCUCGCAACUGGUACGCGGCGCGGCCAAGCCGUUAAACCCCCAACUUCUGAAUGUUGACCUCGGAUCAGGUAGGAAUACCCGCUGAACCUAAGCAUAUCA
rnacentral:misc_RNA from 1 species